AUUCCAGCUCCAAGAGCGUAUAUUAAAGUUGUUGCAGUUAAAAAGCUCGUAGUUGGAUUUCUGGUACAACGCGCCUGGCCCGCUUAUGUGAGUGCCGGUGCGCGUUUGCCAUCCUUCUAGAAAACGUUUCUACCCGGGCAACUGGGCCGGACUCGCGAUCUAGAUCUUUUACUUUGAAAAAAUUAGAGUGUUUAAAGCAGGCUUUUGCUGUGAAUACAUUAGCAUGGAAUAAUAAUCUAGGACUUCGGUUCUAUUUUGUUGGUUUCUAGUACUGAAGUAAUGAUUGAUAGGGAUAGUUGGGGGUGCUAGUAUUGGCCGGCCAGAGGUGAAAUUCUUGGAUUCGGUCAAGACUAACUUAUGCGAAAGCAUUCACCAAGGAUGUCUUCAUCG
rnacentral:rRNA from 1 species